ACCCUUUUCAGUGCCUCUUUCAGUGAUACGAAGCUAAAACCAGAUACUGCUUUCAUAGUACUUUUCUGACCACGGUUUUCUGGAGUUUUUUCGUAUGGAGUUUGUAAGCUUCCUGACAUGUUAUUUUUGGCAGAUUUUGAUGGAUGUACAUUGAUGGAUAGCCACGUGGAUCCAGAAAAUAAAGACUUCUACUCUGCAUUUGACUAAAGCAGAAGAUAUGCAAGGAAGCUCAGUCUCUCAAUUGAGUGGAUUCUGAAAUUUAUCCUGUUGUCUUCAGCUACUAAGGCUAAUUUGCAAAUCACACUGUGCACGGGGUUCCAGGGUGAAAUAGGAGCACUUAGGAAGCACUGCAAUGAAUUUACUGCUUAUUCAGCAUAUUGAUAGAGUCUUCUCUAAAACAACAAAAAGUGUUGACAGCAAACUGAAGAUCUUAAAGAAUGUGUGUGUCCCACCCCUGCAGUACUUCAGCAUUCUGAGGUAACAAGACAGUUGGCUUACUGCAUCUUAGAAAGGCUUAUUGAUUUUGUUAUUGCUACAACUAUCAUGGAAGCAGAGGCAGCAAUUUCUCAAGCCUAGUUCCAAAAGGAUUAAACCUGACAAAGAUUUAUAAACAACCUGUUCAGUGGCUGCUGAUUAACUCCCCAAGAUUGAUGUACUGAAGAAGGAUGACCUCCCCUUGACACCAAUGCUACUAGUCAAUAACGACCACUGUGACUCAGAACAAAUUCUCUGGGGGCAGGCAGUGAAGCUUCUUCUCUUGUUGACCUUACCAGACCACAAGGCUGAAAAUAUUCUGUGGCCUGAUGCCCUUAAAUUGAUCAUAUUAAUACAAUCAAGCAGAAAAGAAAUUAAUUUUCCCUCUCUCUCUCUGUCUAUAUAUAUACUUACUACUAUAUAUAUGUGUGUAUAUAUAUGCUAUAUAUGUGUGUGUAUAUAUAUAGCAGUACAUAUAGAUAUAAUUAGUAUAUAUAGAAGUAGUAAAUAUAUAAAAAUAUAUUUGUAUUCCUCUUCAGCUCCAUACUUGAGAUUAAAAAGUAUCCUUUAAGAGUUCAUACAUCUAGACCUCUCUUCUGAAAAGAAUAAUAAUCUCCUGUUUAUCUAUGCACUUAUUUGCUAAAUAAAGAAGAAUAUUGAGCACCCAAAA
rnacentral:lncRNA from 1 species